CAGCCACAUCAAAUUGAAAUACCAGUUCCUGUAUGAUCACUGAAGUUAAGCAAUGUCAAGCCUGGUCAGUACUUAGAUGGAUGUUCACAUGGGAAUACCAGGUGUU